GAUGAAGAACGUAGCGAAAUGCGAUAAGUAGUGUGAAUUGCAGAAUUCAGUGAAUCAUCGAAUCUUUGAACGCACAUUGCGCCCCUUGGUAUUCCAUGGGGCAUGCCUGUUCGAGCGUCAUUUGUACCUUCAAGCUUUGCUUGGUGUUGGGUGUUUGUCCCUCGGGACUCGCCUUAAAGUCAUUGGCAGCCAGUGUUUUGGUUUUGAAGCGCAGCACAAGUCGCGAUUCAAGACUAUCCGCCCGCUUCCACAAGCCUUUUUCACUUUUGACCUCGGAUCAGGUAGGGAUACCCGCUGAACUUAAGCAUAUCAAUAAGCGGAGGA
rnacentral:misc_RNA from 1 species